AGGCGUUAGACCUCCGCGGCCGUGCAGGGUACGGCAAGGCUGGGAGCCCCGCUGCUGCCUCGGCGGUGUCAGCUCUGCUCUUCCCAGGAGUGAUCCCCGCUGAUCCCGGGCCCCAGUCUGUGUGUUCUUCAAUGUCUGCAGUGAUGGGGACUCAGCAGACCCACCCACAGUCUUGCCUGGACAGGCCCAAUCCCAUCCCUGAGCUAUUCAGUGACCCAGCAGUGUGAUGGACCAGGCUCUCAACACCUUCCCCAGGAGGUGCUCAAUGGAUAAAACAAGGGAAUGAGGUUGAACGAGGCUUUCAGAGGGAAAAACAAACAAACAAAAAAAUCUGUACUGUGCUCUUCCAGCUCUCCUUCCCUAACCAAAUCUGCCACUGCCACAUUUUUCCCCAGUGCCUCCUGUCAUCUUCCUUUAUGCAAUCUUAUGAGCUUAAAGCUUGUAAGUCAGAGGAAUUUUCUCCAUUAACUAUUUUCCUUAUCUCAUCUUUCAUUAGGCCUUGCCCUUCUUAUCCCUCCCCUGCAUCAUCCCUUCUUGGCCUAAACUGAACAGAUCUGUCCCUACAUUCUCACCCAUAGGAAGCAGCUCCAGGGGGUGGGGGGUUUGGAAGGUGACUGCACUGCCAUGAAGCUUUUCUCCCCACCUUUCUCUGCUAGAAACAGUCUCGUCCAUCCUCCCUCCUUCCACCUACCAGCGCUGAUGUGGGAAUGAAGUUUCUGGCAGUGCUGCUGAACUGUAAAUUGACUUCAGUCUCUUUCCAGACUGACAGUUUUAUGGUUCCCCAGCUUCUCAUUUUCCACCUUUAAAAGGGAGAAGCACUCUGUUUACCCUCCUGGUAUGCGGCACAAGUGAUUUCACACGAAGGAGCAGCAAAAUGAUAUUGCAUUAUGACAACGACUCUGAGUCAUCGUGAAGAUUAACCAGGAACCACGGCAGCGAGGGGACAGUAGCAAUGUAGCAGGUAGCACUGCCCCACCUUUGCAGAGGGUGCAUGCAGCUGAGCAGGGCCAUGCAGCGCUGGUGGGGUCAGGAUGGCUGCAGAGAGAAAAGAGAAUGGCAAGGACAAGCACUACAGACACUGGGUUAUCAGUGGUAUCCAGCAGUGUGGGUGUUUGGCUUCGGGUAUUCUGGUGUUUCAGAAGUGCAAUGUUGACUUGGUGCGUGUCUCUCCAUCUCCCAGUGUGGAAAAGCUAAACUUUCCUUUUCCAGCAUGCACUGAUGGUCUGAAAGAACGAAGAGGCCAAUAUAUGACAUGUGGCUUUGAUCAUAUACAUGUUAAUCCCUGGUGUUAAAAAACAAAAACAAAAACAA